GGAGACAUUAACACUGAUAUGUAAGGAUGUGCAAAGUAGGUGGUCCCUGGAAAGCAAAGCAAAGCCACUGCUUAGAUUGUAUAUGGAGGUAUAUUGUUAAAUUGACAAAUUAGGGGACUGGAAAGUGUCUAUUCUUCAAAGUUAACAGUUUUAAGGUAACUUAGCCUCACGUUAACUUGCAAUUUGCUGUGAUAUCACAAAAAACAAAACAAAUCCUUACCUAUUUCCUCCUGAACCCUACAGUGCCUGAUUAUAGUUGUUUGUGGUAUUGUUUACUGGAGUACACUUUAGUGUACCAAACAAGAGGAG